rnacentral:tRNA from 1 species
GGCCACUUAGCUCAGUUGGUUAGAGCGUGCGAUUCACAUUCGCAAGGUCACUGGUUCAAAUCCAGUAGUGGUCA